CUACGGGGUGCUGCAGUUAGGAAUAUUCUGCAAUGCGCGCAAGCGUGACAGAUUGAGCCAGAGUGCGUUUCUAUUGAAACGCUUUUGCCAAAUGUAAAAAGUUUGGCGAAUAAGGACUGGGUAAGACUAGUGCCAGCCGCCGCGGUAAUACUAGCGGUCCAAGUUGCAGCCAUAUUUAUUGGGUCUAAAACAUCCGUAGCUUGCUUAAUAAGUUUCUUGUGAAAUCUUAUCUCUCAAAGGUAGGGCGGGCAGGAAAUACUGUUGAGCUAGAGACUGGAAGGCGUGAGAAGUACGACCAAAGUAGCGGUAAAAUGCGUUAAUCUUGGCCGGACUUACAAUAGCGAAGGCAUCUCACGAGGACAGUUCUGACAGUAAGGGAUGAAGGCUAGGGGCGCAAAACGGAUUAGAUACCCGAGUAGUC
rnacentral:rRNA from 1 species